ACUGAAACAUCUAAGUAGGGCGAGGAAGAGAAAUCAACCGAGAUUCCGCUAGUAGUGGCGAGCGAACGCGGAAGAGGCCAAACCAAGAGUAGUAAUACUUUUGGGGUUUUGGACAGCGUACGGUAUUAACUGCGGUUAGUAGAAUGAAAUGGGAAGUUCAACCACAGAGCGUGAUAGUCGCGUACACGAAAACUAAAGUUAGCCAGCUGGAUCCAGAGUACCGCCGGACACGUGAAACCCGGUGGGAAGACGGGGGGACCACCCUCCAAGCCUAAAUACUCUCCAAUGACCGAUAGUGUAUAGUACUGUGAAGGAAAGGUGAAAAGAACCCCUGGCGGGGAGUGAAAUAGAACCUGAAACCUUGUGCCUACAAGCACAUAGAGCGCGUCAAUGCGUGAUAUGGUACCUUUUGUAGAAUGGUCCGGCGAGUGAAUGUCACUGGCAAGGUUAAGCUCUUCAGGAGUGCAGCCGAAGCGAAAGCGAGUCUGAAAUGGGCGUUUUAGUCAGUGGUAUUCGACCCGAAACCGGGUGACCUAGCCAUGAGCAGGCUGAAGUGGAGGUAAAACUCCAUGGAGGGCCGAACCCACUCCCGUUGAAAUGGUAGGGGAUGACUUGUGGCUAGCGGAGAAAUUCCAAUCGAACCCGGAGAUAGCUGGUUCUCUCCGAAAUAGCUUUAGGGCUAGCCUCAAUUAACAUUACCGCAGGUAAAGCACUGAAUGAGCUAGGGGGCGAAAGCUUACUGAACUCUAUCAAACUCAGAAUGGCGGAUAAUGAAUGAUUGGGAGUCACACUACGUGAGAUAAGUUUCGUGGUGGAAAGGGAAACAGCCCAGACCCACAGCUAAGGUCCCAAAGUACAGUUAAGUGGAAAAGGAUGUGAAAUUGCGCAGACAACCAGGAUGUUGGCUCAGAAGCAGCCACUCAUUCAAAGAGUGCGUAAUAGCUCACUGGUCGAGUGAUUUUGCGCCGAAAAUUUAACGGGGCUAAACUGUACACCGAAGCUUGGGAAUAUACAUUUGUAUGUUGGUAGGAGAGCGUUGUGUAAGGGGUGAAGUCGUAGCGAAAGCGGCGGUGGACUUUACACAAGUGAGAAUGCCGGAAUGAGUAGCGAGAAUUAUGUGAGAAUCAUAAUGGCCGAAAGACUAAGGUUUUAGAAGGAAGGUUCGUCCGCUUCUAGUUAGCCGGGAGCUAAGGCGAGGCCGAGAGGCGUAGUCGAUGCACAUACGGUUGAGAUUCCGUAGCUACCUUGCAUUUAAGCGAAGGGACACAUUUGAAGGGCAUGACCCGGGCGUUGGUUGACCCGGGCGUAAGGGACCGAAAAUAAGUAGGGAAGCAUGCUUGGAUGGUGGCGAGAAAAGCUUCGUGUAUAUAAGCAGGGUACCCGUACUGCAAACCGACACAGGUAGUCAGGAAGAGGAUUCUAAGGCCAUCGGGAGAAGCGUUGUUAAGGAACUCGGCAAAUUGACCCCGUAACUUCGGAAUAAGGGGUGCUCACGCGAGUGAGCCGCAGUGAAUAGGUCCAGGCAACUGUUUAUCAAAAACACAGCUCUCUGCUAAAUCGUAAGAUGACGUAUAGGGGGUGACACCUGCCCGGUGCUGGAAGGUUAAGAGGAGGGGUGCAAGCUCCGAAUUGAAGCCCCAGUAAACGGCGGCCGUAACUAUAACGGUCCUAAGGUAGCGAAAUUCCUUGUCGGGUA
rnacentral:rRNA from 1 species